GAUGAACGCUGGCGGCGUGCCUAAUACAUGCAAGUCGAGCGAACGGACGAGAAGCUUUCUUCUCUGAUGUUAGCGGCGGACGGGGGAGUAACACGUGGAUAACCUACCUAUAAGACUGGGAUAACUUCGGGAAACCGGAGCUAAUACCGGAUAAUAUUUUGAACCGCAUGGUUCAAAAGUGAAAGACGGUCUUGCUGUCACUUAUAGAUGGAUCCGCGCUGCAUUAGCUAGUUGGUAAGGUAACGGCUUACCAAGGCAACGAUGCAUAGCCGACCUGAGAGGGUGAUCGGCCACACUGGAACUGAGACACGGUCCAGACUCCUACGGGAGGAAGCAGUAGGGAAUCUUCCGCAAUGGGCGAAAGCCUGCCGGAGCAACGCCGCGUGAGUGAUGAAGGUCUUCGGAUCGUAAAACUCUGUUAUUAGGGAAGAACAUAUGUGUAAGUAACUGUGCACAUCUUGACGGUAACUAAUCAGAAAGCCACGGCUAACUACGUG
rnacentral:rRNA from 1 species